rnacentral:rRNA from 1 species
UACGUAGGGAGCAAGCGUUGUCCGGAAUCAUUGGGCGUAAAGCGCGCGUAGGCGGCCCCGUAAGUCCGCUGUGAAAGUCAAAGGCUCAACCUUUGAAAGCCGGUGGAUACUGUGGGGCUAGAGUCCGGAAGAGGCGAGUGGAAUUCCUGGUGUAGCGGUGGAAUGCGCAGAUAUCAGGAGGAACACCAAUAGCGAAGGCAGCUCGCUGGGACGGUACUGACGCUAAGGCGCGAAAGCCAGGGGAGCAAACGGG